GUUGUCUUGAACUCACUAAAGUCAGAUUUUGCAGUUCCGAGUUAACAGUUGCUUUGAUCAAGGCACAAAUCAUGCUUCAUUGACAGCAUGGCCAAUGUUGAUUGUUUAUAAUUUUAAACUAGGAAAAUAGACCCCUAAUCUUAGACUUGGGACCACACAGCCACUCCCCUGAAUAGCAGGCUAAUGAUUGCUUUGCGAUGCUUGCAGUUAGCCACUGAUUCCUUCCAAACCACAUAAUGUUUAUGUCCAAUGGCCGAUGAGCAACAAUACAUUUUAUCUAUAAUUUAUCUUCAUUAUUUCUCUUCAUAUGACAAGGAUUAAAAAGGAUUUGCCAGUAGUUUGUCGACUUGAUUCAUGAUGAUGACUGCUAGCUAAGAUUUUGAAAGUACUAUGUUGACAUGAUCAGUCCAAUCAAAGCUACUGUAGAUAUGUGAUUUGAUGUCAUUUCUGUGGCCAAUGACCUUGAGCCUUCUUGGAUGGUCACUUCUAAUGUAACUCUAUGGCAGCACCCAAGGGGCUUGAAUAUUUUCUGCUGAUAGCCCCACCACCACAAAAAGCACUGAGCUAGGCUGAAACACCUGCAUUUUGGCCCUGCCUUACUCAAGAAAACAAAAAGAGGCCAUGUUUGUAUGCGGCUUUAUUAACUCAAUGAUGUAUUUUUUACAUUGUUUUCAAACUGAUAUGUCACACGUAUUAAUACCAAAAUAACAUGCAAAAUAUAAUGUUUUGGGGCAAAAAAUGUGGGGCUCAAAACAGGUGGGGUCUCCAGUAUGUAUGGACAAAACUGGACUAUCAUAAACAUAUACCAUGGGGGGUUUAUUAUUCUGACCCCCCCCCCCCCUUUAUUUCCUCUACCUACUGUACUGUGUGAAGUCUCUACCUCAAUGUUUCUCUUGUUUUCUCUGUGUGAUAACAGGAGAGAGACGGAGGAGAGGCAUGGAAGAUGGUGGAGUGAAAACAGUGGCCCCAUUCAAAUCCUCCUCAGUUCUGGAACACUCAUAUUCAUAAUAAUAGAACUGUGUCGGGGGGAUUUUGAUUGAUGUCAGGCUAAUGUUGGACCGUCAGUGAAUCCAAACUAAGCAGUGUGUGUCUGCCUGCCAAUCACAUAGCUGUAACGUUAUUCCACAGGCGUCCAACAGAGAAUUCCCAUCUAACCUUGAACUGAGGUUUUUGGAUGAGCUUUUUAUGGGCCCUGCUAUAUUUGCAGUCAAUUUAGUGGAAAGUUGAUCCAAGAUGGACGCCUUGUAGCUCGGCUCCCCACUGGUGUGUGCUGGCUUGCUCUGCAACUGAGGUGGUGAAGUUGGAUUAGGGAUUUAUGUGGUGUUCAACAGGGUGACGUUUCUCGAAAAAGUCUAAUUUAUAUGUCAGCUGAAACUGUCUCUGCUAGAGUAUCUGAAAUUAGAUAUAUUUAGCAUUUUUACUUUCCAUUCAGUGCAUACCGUUCUUUGAAUGUCAAGUUUGCUCAUAUGUAAAUGUAAAUUAACCAAAGAGAGGGGAAAAACAGACAAAUGCAUAUGCGAGAGUACAGCGGAGCUUGAAAAACAACUCACAAGCCUAAUAAAAACAGCUUGAAAUGAGGUAUCAUUCAGUGCAGAUGAAGGCAAGUAUUUCAGUUCAGCUUAUAAAACUGUUUGCACAAUGCUAGAUAAGUGUAAUUGAUGGAUUAUUUUUCUGUGUACUUCACUUUCUAACACCAUGAGUCAGUGUACAAUUAGAUAGGAAAUAUUUCAGAGUAAUUUGAAGUGCUUUUGUGUGUGAUAAAUAUGUAACAAGUUUGUUAAAAUACUGUAUCUUGCUUUCUGUUUUUGUUUUCCUAACUGGUUGAAUAAUGAAAGAAGUGCGUUCAUUGUGCAUAAAUAAAAAGCACCUUAAAAGGUUACAAUUGCAACUGUGAUGGUCAAGUCAAAGUCCU
rnacentral:lncRNA from 1 species